AGCGAACGCUGGCGGCAGGCCUAACACAUGCAAGUCGAACGGACCUUUCGGGGUUAGUGGCGGACGGGUGAGUAACACGUGGGAACGUGCCUUUAGGUUCGGAAUAGCUCCUGGAAACGGGUGGUAAUGCCGAAUGUGCCCUUCGGGGGAAAGAUUUAUCGCCUUUAGAGCGGCCCGCGUCUGAUUAGCUAGUUGGUGAGGUAAUGGCUCACCAAGGCGACGAUCAGUAGCUGGUCUGAGAGGAUGACCAGCCACAUUGGGACUGAGACACGGCCCAAACUCCUACGGGAGGCAGCAGUGGGGAAUCUUGCGCAAUGGGCGAAAGCCUGACGCAGCCAUGCCGCGUGGAUGAUGAAGGUCUUAGGAUUGUAAAAUCCUUUCACCGGUGAAGAUAAUGACUGUAGCCGGAGAAGAAGCCCCGGCUAACUUCGUGCCAGCCGCCGCAGUAAAAC
rnacentral:rRNA from 1 species